CUGGCGGCGUGCUUAACACAUGCAAGUCGAACGGUGAACACGGAGCUUGCUCUGUGGGAUCAGUGGCGAACGGGUGAGUAACACGUGAGCAACCUGCCCCUGACUCUGGGAUAAGCGCUGGAAACGGCGUCUAAUACUGGAUAUGUGACGUGACCGCAUGGUCUGCGUCUGGAAAGAAUUUCGGUUGGGGAUGGGCUCGCGGCCUAUCAGCUUGUUGGUGAGGUAAUGGCUCACCAAGGCGUCGACGGGUAGCCGGCCUGAGAGGGUGACCGGCCACACUGGGACUGAGACACGGCCCAGACUCCUACGGGAGGCAGCAGUGGGGAAUAUUGCACAAUGGGCGCAAGCCUGAUGCAGCAACGCCGCGUGAGGGAUGACGGCCUUCGGGUUGUAAACCUCUUUUAGCAGGGAAGAAGCGAAAGUGACGGUACCUGCAGAAAAAGCGCCGGCUAACUACGUGCCAGCAGCCGCGGUAAUACGUAGGGCGCAAGCGUUAUCCGGAAUUAUUGGGCGUAAAGAGCUCGUAGGCGGUUUGUCGCGUCUGCUGUGAAAUCCGGAGGCUCAACCUCCGGCCUGCAGUGGGUACGGGCAGACUAGAGUGCGGUAGGGGAGAUUGGAAUUCCUGGUGUAGCGGUGGAAUGCGCAGAUAUCAGGAGGAACACCGAUGGCGAAGGCAGAUCUCUGGGCCGUAACUGACGCUGAGGAGCGAAAGGGUGGGGAGCAAACAGGCUUAGAUACCCUGGUAGUCCACCCCGUAAACGUUGGGAACUAGUUGUGGGGUCCAUUCCACGGAUUCCGUGACGCAGCUAACGCAUUAAGUUCCCCGCCUGGGGAGUACGGCCGCAAGGCUAAAACUCAAAGGAAUUGACGGGGACCCGCACAAGCGGCGGAGCAUGCGGAUUAAUUCGAUGCAACGCGAAGAACCU
rnacentral:rRNA from 1 species